UGGAAAGGAAGCUUUGUGCUAUCUCAGUUU
rnacentral:piRNA from 2 species